rnacentral:rRNA from 1 species
UACGUAGGGUCCGAGCGUUGUCCGGAAUUAUUGGGCGUAAAGGGCUCGUAGGCGGUCUGUUGCGUCGGGAGUGAAAACUUACAGCUUAACUGUGAGCGUGCUUCCGAUACGGGCAGACUUGAGGUAUUCAGGGGAGAACGGAAUUCCUGGUGUAGCGGUGAAAUGCUUAGAUAUCGUCCAGAACACCGAUGGCGAAGGCAGGUCUCUGGGCUGACACUGACGCUCAUGCACGAAAGCGUGGGGAGCAAACAGG